GCGGGAGUAGCUCAGUUGGUAGAGCGUCAGCCUUCCAAGCUGAACGUCGAGGGUUCGAAUCCCUUCUCCCGCU
rnacentral:tRNA from 1 species